rnacentral:rRNA from 1 species
GGAUGAACGCUAGCUACAGGCUUAACACAUGCAAGUCGAGGGGCAGCAUUUUAGUUUGCUUGCAAACUGAAGAUGGCGACCGGCGCACGGGUGAGUAACACGUAUCCAACCUGCCGAUAACUCCGGAAUAGCCUUUCGAAAGAAAGAUUAAUACCGGAUAGCAUACGAAUAUCGCAUGAUAUUUUUAUUAAAGAAUUUCGGUUAUCGAUGGGGAUGCGUUCCAUUAGUUUGUUGGCGGGGUAACGGCCCACCAAGACUACGAUGGAUAGGGGUUCUGAGAGGAAGGUCCCCCACAUUGGAACUGAGACACGGUCCAAACUCCUACGGGAGGCAGCAGUGAGGAAUAUUGGUCAAUGGGCGAGAGCCUGAACCAGCCAAGUAGCGUGAAGGAUGAAGGCUCUAUGGGUCGUAAACUUCUUUUAUAUGGGAAUAAAGUUUUCCACGUGUGGAAUUUUGUAUGUACCAUAUGAAUAAGGAUCGGCUAACUCCGUGCCAGCAGCCGCGGUAAUACGGAGGAUCCGAGCGUUAUCCGGAUUUAUUGGGUUUAAAGGGAGCGUAGGUGGAUUGUUAAGUCAGUUGUGAAAGUUUGCGGCUCAACCGUAAAAUUGCAGUUGAAACUGGCAGUCUUGAGUACAGUAGAGGUGGGCGGAAUUCGUGGUGUAGCGGUGAAAUGCUUAGAUAUCACGAAGAACUCCGAUUGCGAAGGCAGCUCACUAGACUGUCACUGACACUGAUGCUCGAAAGUGUGGGUAUCAAACAGGAUUAGAUACCCUGGUAGUCCACACAGUAAACGAUGAAUACUCGCUGUUUGCGAUAUACAGUAAGCGGCCAAGCGAAAGCAUUAAGUAUUCCACCUGGGGAGUACGCCGGCAACGGUGAAACUCAAAGGAAUUGACGGGGGCCCGCACAAGCGGAGGAACAUGUGGUUUAAUUCGAUGAUACGCGAGGAACCUUACCCGGGCUUAAAUUGCAACAGAAUAUAUUGGAAACAGUAUAGCCGUAAGGCUGUUGUGAAGGUGCUGCAUGGUUGUCGUCAGCUCGUGCCGUGAGGUGUCGGCUUAAGUGCCAUAACGAGCGCAACCCUUAUCUUUAGUUACUAACAGGUCAUGCUGAGGACUCUAGAGAGACUGCCGUCGUAAGAUGUGAGGAAGGUGGGGAUGACGUCAAAUCAGCACGGCCCUUACGUCCGGGGCUACACACGUGUUACAAUGGGGGGUACAGAAGGCGGCUACCUGGUGACAGGAUGCUAAUCCCAAAAACCUCUCUCAGUUCGGAUCGAAGUCUGCAACCCGACUUCGUGAAGCUGGAUUCGCUAGUAAUCGCGCAUCAGCCAUGGCGCGGUGAAUACGUUCCCGGGCCUUGUACACACCGCCCGUCAAGCCAUGAAAGCCGGGGGUACCUGAAGUACGUAACCGCAAGGAGCGUCCUAGGGUAAAACUGGU